rnacentral:rRNA from 1 species
UACAGAGGUGGCAAGCGUUGUUCGGAAUUACUGGGCGUAAAGGGCGCGUAGGCGGCCUACUAAGUCAGACGUGAAAUCCCCCGGCUUAACCUGGGAACUGCGUCUGAUACUGGAAGGCUUGAGGAUGGGAGAGGGAUGUAGAAUUCCAGGUGUAGCGGUGAAAUGCGUAGAUAUCUGGAGGAAUACCGGUGGCGAAGGCGGCAUCCUGGACCGACACUGACGCUGAGGCGCGAAAGCUAGGGGAGCAAACGGG